rnacentral:rRNA from 1 species
UACAGAGGUCUCAAGCGUUGUUCGGAUUCAUUGGGCGUAAAGGGUGUGUAGGCGGCGCGCUAAGUCGGGUGUGAAAUUUCGGAGCUUAACUCCGAAACUGCAUUCGAUACUGGCGUGCUUGAGGACUGGAGAGGAGACUGGAAUUCAUGGUGUAGCAGUGAAAUGCGUAGAGAUCAUGAGGAAGACCAGUGGCGAAGGCGGGUCUCUGGACAGUUCCUGACACUGAGGCACGAAGGUCAGGGGAGCAAACGGG